UACAGAGGUCUCAAGCGUUGCUCGGAAUCACUGGGCGUAAAGCGCACGUAGGCGGAUUGUUAAGUCAGGGGUGAAAUCCUGGAGCUCAACUCCAGAACUGCAUUCGAUACUGCCGUGCUUUGAGGACUGGAGAGGAGACUGGAAUUUACGGUGUAGCGGUGAAAUGCGUAGAUAUGUAAGGAAGACCAGUGGCGGAAGGCGGGUCGCUGGACAGUUCCUGACGCUGAGGCACGAAGGCGUGGGGAGCGAACAGGA
rnacentral:rRNA from 1 species